UUUUCUUUUUCUCUCUCACCAAUCCUCUUUCUUUUCUUCUCCCUUCUCCUAACUCUUCCCCUUCUUCCUGGUUUUAUUUUUUUACUUUCUUUUCUCUAUUUCAUAAGAUCCAUUUGAUUUCUAAUUUCACUCUUUUUUUUUCUUUCUUCAGAUUCUUCAUGUUCAAUCUCGGAGGUUCUAACAUCUUUCGUCAUCAACAACAACAAAGGAUUUGUAGGUAAAAUAGAUAGAAGAAAGUUUCAAGGAUUCAAAUUUAGAUCUAUAAAAGAUUUGCAAGUCACCAAGGACGUCUUACAUAGUUUUCAAGUUGUUAUGUUACUGGGAAUACUCAAGAGCCUCAUAUGUCAUCGUAUUGUAUCACUGCAAUUGUUCUGACCAUAGCGGUUGGUUGCUCUUUAUAAGAUUCAGCCAAAUGCAAUCAAUCGGGUACCGCAGCUGUAAUGAGGAAAAUUAGAAAUUGUAACUAUUAAGAUUGUUUGAUGUACACUUAUUCUUGACCUUUAGGUAAUUUAAAUAGCUUUUCAAUUUUUACUAUUAGAAUUAUUAUAACUAAGGUGUUGUUUCACCUACAAAUAUAAGGUAGGUACUUAUGUCUACCGUAAGAGAAUGACUAAUGUAUGGAAGGACAAGCUCAUUGAUAGUCACAAUAUUGAUAUUGAUAUUUUGAGAGGUUUUACGAUACAUACGACAUGAAU